UAUGUUCGCCCUCUGGCUGUUGAGAGUGA
rnacentral:piRNA from 1 species